GUUCGAAGUACCUGUUUCUUGACGUGUAUUUUUAUUUGUUUUAAUUCUUGAAAAAGACCUGUGGUUUUGGCUGUAAAUGGGGUUCUUGUUUUAGGAUUCUAUUAUAGCUAUUAGUGGUUUUUAUUUAUCGUUUACAUUUGUGACUCUAUAAACUUAGGUUUCAGUUGAAAACCCUGGUCCUUGGAGCUAUAUGCAAUAGAGGGGGGCUUUCGGAAGCCUUUCUAUUUUA